rnacentral:rRNA from 1 species
UACUCCUACGGGAGGCAGCAGUGGGGAAUUUUGCGCAAUGGGCGAAAGCCUGACGCAGCAACGCUGCGUGAGUGAUGAAGGCCCUCGGGUCGUAAAGCUCUGUCAGAGGGGAAGAAACUUUUGAGGGAGAAUAUCCCUUGAAACUGACGGUACCCUCAAAGGAAGCACCGGCUAACUCCGUGCCAGCAGCCGCGGUAAUA